UGACGGCUCCGGCACCCGCUUGACUCCCUCUGGCGGCACCGCCAUGUCGGCCGUCGCCAGUACCGGUGGACCCGGGUCCGUGCGCUUCAUGUCCAUGUUCGGUCGUAAGCGCGGCGAGGAUCCCAUGCUCGCGGAGCUGGUCGCCAAGAGCUUUUGAAAACCUGAUCUUUUUUCCGAAAUGGCCCCAUGGUGUCGCUGGUACAUGUGUGGGCGCAGCUGGCUCAGGGAGCGUGAUUGCUUCUUAAGGAGAGCGGCUCCAUUUGCUUAGUUUUGACGAGUGCUCAAGAGUUCAGAGCGCGAGGAGAUUGCUCAUGGCUGCGGUGUGAAGAAUGACAUUCUGGGUCUCGCAGGUACACUUGACCUGCUGGGGUGGUGGUGGGGUUUCGUCCACAGCUGGGCAUGAACCUCAGGCUCCCGGUGGAGAAUGAUUAUUCGCUUCGGCGAGAUGUUGUAUGAUUGGGCGGCUUGUUGUGGACCUCAAGCCGGACCGGCAGGCCACCCUGGGUGUAUUUUAUGAUUCAUGGCUUCAUUACGAGCGAUGUGGUUUCUUAAAAUGGCGUCAUGCACUGACGGGCGUGCGGCCUGAGGAGCACGUGGGGGGCUGAACUCCGCGAUGAUGUUGUUAGUGAUGGUGAUGGUGAUGGUGAUGGUGAUGGUGAUGGUGACGGUGACGAUGCGACGAGCGGAAUUAGUUUGCGUAAAUGAGGCUGGCAGCGGAGGAGUCCUAAGAGGAAUAGAGCCCGCAGGAAUUCGCGGAAUGUCCUUUCAGUGUGCUUAUGUUAGUUGUGAAGAGGUUAGGCGGAACGUCCGUCGGUGCAGGCCGUUAUCUGAUGGGCCAUUACUUACAUCUACAGCAUUAGGGUUAAUGGUUACCCGUUUCUUCUGCGGUAGUUGCUGCGUGGGGUUUGGGCGGAUUUACGUAAUUCAUCGUUAAAAAUGUCUCCUACAUGGUUGGAAGGAUCGCUACAUCAUCCUGUUAUGCGCCUGCUGGAGUUAGUAUUCAACUUUCUAGUCCGCAUAGGCUUGCGGGAGCCUAGGUUGGGUCCAAAUUCGAUUAAUGCACCUAAAUUGGGUGCCGCGUUCGUGCCGUAUUUGCUGUUGUUUCAUAAUCCGCCUUUGCGGAAAAAACUGUUUCCUGUGCGGUUGGGUCGUUGUGGACGUGGCAUUGUCCCUCCCUACCUUGUGUUGGGUGUUGCCCCCAGCACCCCCAUGUGGUGGUCGGAAUUGCGGCUGUGUAGACUUAUCGUGGCGCACAGGUGUACAACGUUGGCGCUUGCCUAUGGAGUGCCUUCAAUUUGCACGUUGUUGCUGUACGCGCACUCUAGCUUUGAUUUGGACCCUCGUUGCUCCCCGCACGGGGCGGCAUGGUACGCUGUAACGAGUUAGGAUGGUUUUCAUACUAAGCCCACCUACCGUACUGUAUUGGGGCACAGCUGCGUCCCCAGAGGGCCGACGAAACAAG
rnacentral:lncRNA from 1 species